UACAGAGGUCUCGAGCGUUAGGCGGAAUCACUGGGCUUAAAGCGUGUGUAGGUGGAUGCCUAAGUACCUUGUGAAAUCCCACAGCUUAACUGUGGAACUGCUUGGUAUACUGGGUGUCUUGAGUCACUCGGGGGCGAGCGGAACAAAUGGUGGAGCGGUGAAAUGCGUAGAUAUCAUUUGGAACGCCAAUGGUGAAAACAGCUCGCUGGGGGUGUACUGACACUGAGACACGAAAGCCAGGGGAGCGAACGGG
rnacentral:rRNA from 1 species